rnacentral:rRNA from 1 species
UGUGGCAGCAGCCGCGGUAACACCGGCAGCUCAAGUGGUAGCCGCUUUUAUUGGGCCUAAAGCGUCCGUAGCCGGUCUGAUAAGUCUCUGGUGAAAUCCCACAGCUUAACUGUGGGAAUUGCUGGAGAUACUAUCAUGACUCGAGGUCGGGAGAGGCUGGAGGUACUCCCAGGGUAGGGGUGAAAUCCUGUAAUCCUGGGAGGACCACCUGUGGCGAAGGCGUCCAGCUGGAACGAACCUGACGGUGAGGGACGAAAGCCAGGGGCGCGAACCGGAUUAGAUACCCGGGUAGUCCUGGCCGUAAACGAUGUGGACUUGGUGUUGGGAUGGCUUCGAGCUGCCCCAGUGCCGAAGGGAAGCUGUUAAGUCCACCGCCUGGAAGACCGCCCGCACAC